rnacentral:rRNA from 1 species
GAUGAACGCUGGCGGCGUGCUUAACACAUGCAAGUCGAACGGAAAGGCUCCUGCUUGCAGGGGUACUCGAGUGGCGAACGUUUGAGUAACACUUGGGUGAUCUGCCCUGCACUUCGGGAUAAGCCUGGGAAACUGGGUCUAAUACCGGAUUGGACGUUGUUUUGGAUGCCAUUGUGGAAAGUUUUUCGGUGUGGGAUGAGCUCGCGGCCUAUCAGCUUGUUGGUGGGGUAAUGGCCUACCAAGGCGUCGACGGGUAGCCGGCCUGAGAGGGUGUACGGCCACAUUGGGACUGAGAUACGGCCCAGACUGCUACGGGAGGAAGCAGUGAAGAAUAUUGAACAAUGGGCGCAAGCCUGAUGCAGCGACGCCGCGUGGGGGAUGACGGACUUAGGGUUGUAAACUCAUUUCGCGAGGGACGAAGCGCAAGUGACGGUACCUGGAGAAGAAGCACCGGCUAAAUACGUG